CAGUGUGAGUUAGCCCUCUCCUCUCUGGGAAGUUACACACUGACAUUUAUGGCAAGGAUUGAAACCUACAUUUCCAAUGGUCCCAUUUCAAAGACAGGGAGCACACACAGUUGCUGGACUAGAGGUUCCUUCCACCUGAACUAAGCCAUUCAAACCCUCCCCCACCAAAAAGGAGAAUUCUCCCUUUUCCUAUGAAUCUCUUUACCUGUGGAAUCAGGAAGAAGCUGAAUAGUUUGGCUGUCAGCAGGCAGAGAUCUGACUUAUGUGGUCCAAUCACAGCGGUGACGCGAGGCUGGUAGUCAGUGUAGUUGCACGCUAUGCCAAUGCCUGUGGUGCCAUUUUGGGGUCACAAACAGCAAGCUGGGCUGUAGGGCUGCCAGUGGCUCAAAGCAGGUGUCAUAGAUGUCAUAGCCCAGCUCCACUCCUGGCAGGAGUGACGUGGAGUUGUUGAUCUCGUCAAUAGCAAACUUCAUCCCAAGGGCCCAUAUCAGCCCAUCUACAAAUAACCUGCAGUAAGAGGGGGCAGGGAAUGACAUGAUCCACCGGUGUUAUCAUGGUGAUCAGUGCGUGUUCUUUGACAUCUCAGCAUUCUGUCUGUUGCCAGGUCACCUCGUCAUGGAGAUUCCCAAAUCCUCCUCAGGACACCAUAAGGAUGCAACAGAGCAGACCCCAUCCAGGCUGCAGGUUGGUGAGCUGUUAAUUGUAGCUGUACCAAGAUUUCCCCUAAGUCCUUAUUGGCCAAUCAAAUUAUUUCUCACGUUGAGGUGUGACAUGAACUUAUCACAGAAGCUGUUUGUGUACCCCCAAAGUGAUACACUGCUUUUCCUACAAGGCUGAUCUUUGCUCUGCACCUUAGAGAGCUGGGCACUUUUAAUGGAAGCAUGUUUCAGGCAAGUGAGAGCGGUAAGUAUCUGUGUCAACG
rnacentral:lncRNA from 1 species